GUAGGUGGCAAGCGUUGUCCGGAAUUAUUGGGCGUAAAGCGCGCGCAGGCGGUUCUUUAAGUCUGAUGUGAAAGCCCACGGCUCAACCGUGGAGGGUCAUUGGAAACUGGAGAACUUGAGUACAGAAGAGGAAAGCGGAAUUCCACGUGUAGCGGUGAAAUGCGUAGAGAUGUGGAGGAACACCAGUGGCGAAGGCGGCUUUCUGGUCUGUAACUGACGCUGAGGCGCGAAAGCGUGGGGAGCAAACAGGAUUAGAUACCCUGGUAGUCCACGCCGUAAACGAUGAGUGCUAAGUGUUAGGGGGUUUCCGCCCCCCUUAGUGCUGCAGCUAACGCAUUAAGCACUCCGGCCUGGGAGUACGGCCGCAAGGCUG
rnacentral:rRNA from 1 species